rnacentral:rRNA from 1 species
AUGACGACCGGCGCACGGGUGCGCACCGCGUAUGGAACCUACCUUUUACAGAGGGAUAGCCCAGGGAAACUUGGAUUAAUACCUUAUAGUAUCAUUUUUUAGCAUUAUUAAAUGAUUAAAGCUUUCGGGCGGUAAAAGAUGGCCAUGCGUCCCAUAAGCUAGUUGGUAAGGUAACGGCUUACCAAGGCUACGAUGGGUAGGGGCCCUGAGAGGGGGAUCCCCCACACUGGUACUGAGACACGGACCAG